rnacentral:misc_RNA from 1 species
GGGAUGCUUCAUGCAUUGAGUCACCCUUUAUUUUCAAAUGCUUUAAGAACCUGGGAGUUACAUUGAAGUAAAAAUAUCAGGAAGUUUUGGAAAACAGAUAAUAGAACACUCAAAGCAACACUUUAUAAAUUGGGAUUGGGAAUGUUGUGCAAAGCAUAUCUCAUCAUGAAUAAAAGAAGAGAUUAUUUCUUAAAUGAUAAAAAUUGUUCAAUAGAUCCACGAUGAACACAAAAUAAUAUGAAUAAUGAAUGAAGAGAAUCGCAUACCUUUCCCAGAUAUGAC